rnacentral:rRNA from 1 species
AUACGGAGGGUGCAAGCGUUACUCGGAAUCACUGGGCGUAAAGCGCGCGCAGGCGGCUAUUUAAGUUGGAUGUGAAAGCCUACGGCUCAACCGUAGAACUGCAUCCAAAACUAUUUAGCUAGAGUGUGGGAGAGGAAGAUGGAAUUAGUUGUGUAGGGGUAAAAUCCGUAGAGAUAACUAGGAAUACCAAAAGCGAAGGCAAUCUUCUGGAACACUACUGACGCUGAGGCGCGAAAGCGUGGGGAGCAAGCAGGAUUAGAAACCCCAGUAGUCC